rnacentral:rRNA from 1 species
AACCUGGUUGAUCCUGCCAGUAGUCAUAUGCUUGUCUCAAAGACUAAGCCAUGCAUGUCUAAGUAUAAGUAUUACACAGCGAAACUGCGAAUGGCUCAUUAAAACAGUUAUAAUUUAUUUGAUAAUCGAAUUUACAUGGAUAACCGUGGUAAUUCUAGAGCUAAUACAUGCUGGUAGGCCCGACUUUUUGGAAGGGCGGUAUUUAUUAGAUAACAAACCAAUAUUCCUCUGGUCUAUUGUGGUGAAUCAUAAUAACUGAUCGAAUCGCAAGGUUUUUAACCGCGAUAAGUCAUUCAAGUUUCUGCCCCAUCAGCUUUCGAUGGUAGUGUAUUGGACUACCAUGGCUUUUACGGGUAACGGAGGAUUAGGGUUCGAUUCCGGAGAGGGAGUCUGAGAAACGGCUACCACAUCUAAGGAAGGCAGCAGGCGCG